UCCUACGGGGCGCAGCAGUGAGGAAUAUUGGUCAAUGGGCGGGAGCCUGAACCAGCCAAGUCGCGUGAAGGAAGAAGGUACUUAGUAUUGUAAACUUCUUUUGUCGGGGAACAAAGGCGGAGACGCGUCUCCGGAUGAGUGUACCCGAAGAAAAAGCAUCGGCUAACUCCGUGCCAGCAGCCGCGGUAAUACGGAGGAUGCGAGCGUUAUCCGGAUUUAUUGGGUUUAAAGGGUGCGUAGGCGGUUUGAUAAGUUAGAGGUGAAAUGUCGGGGCUCAACCCCGAAACUGCCUCUAAUACUGUUGG
rnacentral:rRNA from 1 species